rnacentral:lncRNA from 10 species
GGGAAGCAGGCGCAGGCUCCGUGAGGAGGCAAGAGGAAAGGCCAAGAACUGACAAAUUAAUAAAGGGCCAUCUACAAGCCAGGAAUAAGGCCAUCACCAGAAGACAACCCCGCCAGUCCUUGAUCUGGGACUUCCACAUUUCAAAACUGAAAAAAGAUAAAUUUCUGUUGUUUCAGCUACUCAGUCAAUGGCAUUUUGUUAUGGCAGCCUAAGCUAAGACAUAACCUCAGCCUGCUGGCCUGCCUUCACUGUCCUGGGGGAGGCAUGGAGAGACCAGGUGGACUGGAGUAGACUGUUGAGAGACACUGGUCUGGUGAAGAUGUCCAGGAAACCACGAGCCUCCAGCCCAUUGUCCAACAACCACCCACCAACACCAAAGAGGUUGCCAAGACAACCUGGAAGGGAACAGGGACCCGUCAAGGAAGUUCCAGGAACAAAAGGCUCUCCCUAAAAGACCACCGCUUCAAAAAAACCUGAGGAAUGGAGUGGGCCAACACUAUCCAGCCACUCCGACCAGCCAAAAGAACUCAAUCAAAAUGAGACACAGUAGGACCACAAGGGCAAGGAGACCACCACCUUCUCCAGUCUCUCUUUGGGCAGCCAGUAAUUCCCGGGCAAGGCCAGAAACCUCAAGGCUACCUGAAAAGUCUCCAGAGGUCUAACCCCAGAAAAAUAGCCAACAGGGUGUAGAGUACAUUUUAUACCCCAAAGGGUAUACCCCAUGGUGACGAAAAUAAAAUGAACAUGUUGUAAAA